rnacentral:misc_RNA from 1 species
GAAAUGCGAUAAGUAAUGUAAAUUGCAGAAUUCAGUGAAUCAUCGAAUCUUUGAACGCACCUUGCGCUCCUUGGUAUUCCUUGGAGCAUGCCUGUUUGAGUAUCAUGAAAUCUUCAAAGUAAAUCUUUUGUUAACUCAAUUGGUUUCUACUUUGGUAUUGGAGGUCUUUGCAGCUUCACACCUGCUCCUCUUUGUUCAUUAGCUGGAUCUCAGUGUUAUGCUUGGUUCCACUCGGCGUGAUAAGUUAUCUAUCGCUGAGGACACUGUAAAAGGUGGCCAAGGUAAAUGCAGAUGAACCGCUUCUAAUAGUCCAUUGACUUGGACAAUACUUUUAUGAUCUGAUCUCAAAUCAGGUAGGACUACCGGCUGAACUUAAGC